rnacentral:misc_RNA from 1 species
CACAAUAAACAUAUGAAGGCUGCACCGCCAACAGGCGGCAAGGCUGGAGUAUUUUAUUACCCUUGUCUUUUGCGCACUUGUUGUUUCCUGGGCGGGUUCGCCCGCCUCCAGGACCACAUGAUAAACCUUUUUUAUGCAGUUGCAAUCAGCGUCAGUACAACAAAUGUAAAUCAUUUAC